UGAGAUCAUUUCCCGAGAAUAAUUUCAAAUAGGCUGCCAGUCUCCGGGGUGCUAUUCUGGUUUUUCUCUCCUCCAGUCCUGAAAUCCUGAAAAAGAACUCCGGACAUUACUUGUGUGUAUGAAUACAACACUGAAGAUCUCUCUGCUGUCUGAGUCUCAUUAGACCACCAGAGGAUAGAGGAUUAAAGACAAGGGGAACUGUGAAGAGCAGAUAUGUGUGUAACCUGCACAAGGUCGAGUUCUAUUCUUUAGUCAAGUGGCCAUGAAGAACAGACGGAAAUCCCCUUCCUACAGCACACAGAGUGCCAAGCCUCACAACAUCUUCCCCUGCGAGAGUCAGAGCUCAUGAGAGAGCUCGAGAGGCAGAGGAAGGCCUGGUCUCCAUCACAGCUCCUGUUUGAAGGCAUCACGGCCGCCGGUGAACACCCGGCCAAACCAAACUCUGCCGAAACAGCGAGCGGAUUGUGAGCUCUGGAUGAAACGCACAUUCAUGGAAUAUCUGAGCUCAUACCAUCCUGCCUGCACAAUGACUGCUUUUCAUUCGUCCUGUUUUAGUCUCACCUGCCCAAACUGCAGCGAGAUCGGCCUCUCCCACCCUGAAUAAACACUGGGGAAUGGAUGCUGGGGAAUGAACACGCCGUCUGUAAUGGGUUUUAAUUGAUUUGUAAGGUGGCAGUAAUGCAGGGCUGUUGCAUUAUUGAUCACGCUGGGCCCAAUCGUGAAUUCCACACCGGAUCGUUUGAACACGCUGAUAAAAACACAGGGCUGAGCAGGAGCUCAAGGUUCAGUAUUUUUCCACUGUCUGCAGCCUGGAAAUAAAUAGCGGUUUCUUUGGAGAUUGCUGGCUUUUGUGGAAUGGAUGAGAAGCUGCAGUACUGUGUAGAAAAUGAUAGAUGAAAAGAGAUAUCUGAAAGAAACCUUUCACCUUUCUACCACUUGAAGAAAGGGCAUUUAUUUAUUAGUUUUAAUGGUGUUUGCUAAGGGAAGCAUCACUGUUAAUUAUUGCUCAUACAUUUAAUGAGGGAUCCAUGUCAUAUUAAGAGACAAUAGAACACCCAGAACACCCUAGCAACCGCAUAGCAACAUAGUACAAAACACAUAGAACACCUUAGCAACAGCAUAGAAAUACCUUGCAUAUGCAAUCAUCUUUUUUAUAAAUAAAAGUAUUUCCUGGCCAGAGGCAUGUGUUAUGCACACACACACACACACACACACACACACACACACACACACACACACACACACACACACACACACACACACACACACACACACACACACACACACACACACACACACACACACACACACACACUUCUCAAACACAUCACUGUACAGUAAAUGUUCCUUACACAAAUCACACACACCAUCAAAUCCUUAAGGAACAUAGUUUAAGUGCUGAGCAAAGUGUAAAAAUGAUCUGCGUGUGUGUGUGUGUGUGUUCUGUACGUGUACAUGCAUACGUGUGUGUUUGCAUUUAUGUAUGUGUACUGUAUAUUAUGUACUCGUGUGUGAGAAAGUACUACGUGUUCUCCUGUAUGUUUGUCUAUGUCUGAGCUAAAUCUGUGUGUGUGCGUGCGUGCAGGUGUGUGUUCGUGAAUGCUGUGAAUAAUAUGAAGUAGAGAGAGAGAGAGAGACUCUGGAACUGCUUGACUGCUCUAAUCCUUCAUUUCUUUUGUUCGUCUCUGCUGAUGGAGUUCAGAUGUUUCUUCUCAUUUGUCUUGAGCUGAACAUAAUCUGCCUCUCAAGCUUCAUUCUGUCCUGGAUGCUCUCUGAUCAAAGAGCUGUGAGGUGUGCAAACACGGUCAGAUCUCUUACGCAACCUUCUGUCACACAACACACCUGUUACCCUCUCCAAACUCUCCAGCCUGAGACAAAAGGUCACGUAUUGCUCAGAGGUUGCUCUUUUAUUGCUCAGGAGACUUGCAAUCCCAAUUUCAUAAUCAAGCAUCUGCAUUUUCUCCAAAAGUGAGGAGGAGUAAAAAUGCAAAAUAGAGUCAAUGGUUGAGCACGGGUUAAGGCAUUGUUGCGGUAAAGUUUAUAAACUUUUUAGAAGAUUUGGGAUAAGUCUCAAUCUGUUCUCCAUUUAGUCUCAUUGAUGUUUCAAAAAAAACAACAACCAUGAUACUAAAGAGAUUUUAAGGUGUCAUGAUGAGAAAAGCUCAAGAGAGUUUAAAUGUAUAAUGUUUUCUCAAAGAUUGCUCUUUUAUAGCUCAGGAGAUGUAUUGGAGUCCUAAUUUAUGUUCUUGAAGUAUCAGCAUUUUCUCAGAUGUUUGAGCAAAGCUUAACGUUGUUGAGAUGCUUUCUUAGUUCUCGUGUCUCUUUUUAGGAGAAUUAGACUAAAUCUCAACCGGUUCUCCAUUCGGUGUUGACAAAAACCCAAUUGAGAUAUUAAAGAGAUCCGAUUUUUUAAGCUCAUAGAAGAGCUUAAAAGAUUUGAGAUGUAUAGAAUUUGCUCAGACGUUAAUCUUAUAAAAGAUUAACCUCUGAUGGAGACUUCAAAUGUUUCCUUUAAGCAUCAACUUUGUCUCCGAUGUUUCUCCUUGCAGAGGAGAGAGACAUUUUCAAUGCUACAGUCUUGCUUUAUGAUUGACAGAUUGCUGUAGAUAAACAAGCCCUUCUGGAAUCUGAUUCAUGAUUUUUUCUUUCCUUAGUGCAGGGAACUCCAUGGAAGUCUCUCAGGAGUCUCACAGUGGCAUCAGUCUUUCUCAUUUUCAGGCCUUUAACUCCUCGCGCCCGCCAUUGAGACCCCUAUAACCAUAAACCUCAGCAUUGAUCGUAUGACUCUGUGCGGCGGAGGGGAGACUGUUUCCCGAUGGGCGACGGGAUCAACCGGGAGGAGACGGAGAACCGGGGACACAGCAGCAUCCUGAGAUGGCCUUUGAUGUGCCUGAUGAAUGCAGAGCAACAGGGAGCCCGAGAGAGACUCAACCUGCUGUGGCUCUCAAAAGGAUUGAUUCCCCGCCGCUGCUGCCUGGAUAGUCGGAAAAAAAAUGAGAAAGCAGAGAACCAACAAAGCCCGGCCACUUAGCGGAGUUCACUGCUGCGCUGUGGCUUCAAGAAAAUGCGCUCUUUUUGUUGAUGUCACUAGGUGAACAGAGAGCAUGCUGGGAACAGGUUACAUGUAAAGAAGUCUUUCAACAGCUCUCUAAUGCAAAGAGAGGAUUUGUAUUGAGUGAAUGGAGGUGGUCUGUAUUUGUUUUUCUGAAAGAUAUCACUUAUCUGUUUGUGAGCGGAGGGUCGGGAUACUUCAGCGGAGGUCGAGCUCUGUGGACCGCAUUGAUCUCAGAAGUGUUAAGGAAGAAACAGACCUUGUUUUCUCAGCACACAUUAUUACAGCCGGUUUAAAAACAGAACCGCCGUCCGUCGAGAGUAAUGCUUAAACAAAUGUUGUUUUAAUAUCACAGUCCAUUACUGACACACUUUUUUAUAUGUUGGUUAUUUGAAUAAACUUGCUCUUCUGCAUCUCUCACCGUCUCGCCUCGCUGUUCUGUCUCCAUCUGUUGGUCGCUUUUUGCAUCCCCUGAAAUGGAAAUGUACCAAAUGAAUGAAGUGAUUCUGAGAACGUUCUUUUAUCAUUUGUCGAUAUCAAGGUUUAACCUAAAAGGAGAGUUCAGCCAAAAAUGCCUCAUGUUUUUCCAAACCCACGUAACUCUCUUUUCUUCUUUCAACGCAGAUGUUUGGAAGAAUAUCCUGGCGCUCACAACGAGUCUUCUUACAAUAAAAAGUG